CAGUUAACCAAUUUAUUGGUUGCAAUUAAUACACUGAAUGGAGCACCACUUAUCUUGCCACAUAUAAGAUUUUCUCCCCUUAAAUAUCUUGUUAUUUUAUUUAGUUAUCCAAUUCAUAUAAGUAAUUAUAAUUUAUAAUUCAUGUUAAAUUAAUUCUUUUUAAAGCAUGAAAUCUGAGAUUUCAGAUUCUGAUAGUGAUAGAAAGUAUUAGUAAAAAUUGUGAAAGAUACAUGGUUAUCAUAGGUGAAAUAUAUUUAUAUUCAAAUUUUCAAUUAUUAUUAGAAACUUAAAAAUUACUUGUCUCCCUUUAGAGAUAGUUAGUUACCAGUAAAGAGAGAUGUUUAUACAACUUACACAUUGGAAGGAAAACUAAUACUCAACAUUUUUGUCGAGAUCAUUAUCAGGUGAAAAAAAUGAAGAGUGACAUAAUGAAUUACUCAUAGCCUUAAACAUUGGAUAAAAAUAUGUAUAGAUCUUUUGAAAAGUUGUUUAGGUUCUGAUAAAGGGUUUAAGGUUACAAUCAAGAAGCGUGGCCUAGAAGAAUGGCCUAGCAUAUUAUGCCAUAGUUUAUUUCCCUAAACUGCCAUAUUUAUCAGAAAAAAAAGAUCUGUUAUACCUGAAUGGAGGAUAAGCUAAUGAUAUAAGAUAAGCUAAUGAAGUAAAGAAUGAGCACCUGAAAACUAUUUCACACCAGUCAGAAAAGCUGUGUUAUCCAUUCUGAAGGAUUCAUAUGACUAUUUACAUAAUUGGUUGCCAGAUCUGAAGCAUGAUAUUUAAUUUUUUUCAUUUUAAAUAUACAAAGAAAGAUAAAAUAGAGGGAUACGCAGGAAACUAGUUGCUCUCUGGUAAAAUAUAGGCAAGAACCUUAUCGUUGAAGAAAGAUAAAAAUCAUUUUAAAGAAAUUUGAGGCUGGGCAUGGCAGCUCAUGCCUGUAAUCCCAGCACUUUUGGAGGCCAAGCAGGAGGAUCACUUGAGGUCAGGAGUUUGAGACCAGCCUGAGCAACAUAGCAAGAUCCUGUCUCUACAAAAAAAAAAAAAAAAUUAUCCAGAGGUGGUGGCAUGCACCUGUAGUCCCAGCUACUUGGGAGGCUGAGGUGGGAGGAUUGCUUGAGCCUGGGAGAUUGAGGCUUCAGUGAGCCAUGACUGUGCCACUGCACUCCAGCCUGGGUGACAGAGUGAGACUCUUUCUCAAAAAAAUAAAACCAAAAACUACUAAAAUAAAUAAAUGAGUUCAGCAAGCUUGCAGAAUACAAGAUCACUAUACAGAAAUCAAUUGUAUUUCUAUACAGUAGCAUUGAACAAAUCAAAAAUGAAAUCAAGAAAGCAAUGGAAUUUAUAAUAGAUAUCAUCAAAAGGAAUAAAAUGCUUAGGAAUAAAUUUAACAAAAGAAGUGGGAGAACUGAACACUGAGCACUACAAAACAUCAUUGAAAGAAAUUAAAGAAGAUCUAAGUAAAUGAAAAGUGUUCAUGGAUUGGAAGACUUAAGAUUGUUAAAAUAUUGGUAUGCUCCAAAUUGCUCUACAGAUUUAGUGCAAUCCCUAUCAAAAUUUCAGUUGGCUUUUUUGCAGAAAUUGGUAAAGUGACCGUAAAAUUCACAUGAAAAUGCGAGGUACCCAGAAUACAAUCUUGGGAAAAGAGGAACAAAGUUGAAAAGCCCACACUUUCUGAUUGUAAAGAUAUAUUCUAAGUUAUAUAUCACAUAUUUGAGUAUUUUGAUAUAUUAAACUUAUAAAUGCUAUUUUUAUUCUAGAAAAAAUUAUUAGAAAUUAUCUUAGAUUCCAUCACAAAUUUCUCAAGUCAAACUCUAAUUAUUCAAGUAUCCCCUUCCUACAUGUACAUUUCAGUGAGUGUGACUUUAAAAAUAUCUUAUAGGUUUAAGUUUGGAAAGUUAGCUAAUGUAAAAUUUACUUUGCUUUCACCACUGAGCACUAUUGUUUGCUUUACAGCUAUUUCAUUCAAAUGGUCAGCUGAUGUAUCUAUUGUACCCAUUUAAUAGAACAUUCCAGGAGAUCAUUCCUUUUAUAAGAAUUUCUAAUAAAUUCCACAAACCAUUGAUAGUAACCAUUUAUUAUUGAGAGCUUAACAUUUUGAAAUAGUGCUAUUGGAAAUAUGAUUUAAAGAAAUAAUAGUCAAAUUUAUCUCUUUCUCUCAAAAAUUAAUGUUUAAUUUUCCUCUAUUCUCCCCUUUCAAAGUAAGAACAAAACCAUCCUCAAGUCAUGGUGAAGUUUUAAAAAUACUCUUUCAUUUUUAAAAUAGACUAUUCAAAAUAGUAUGAAUUUAACAUUUUUAACUUUAGGACUAGGUAUAUUCAAAUCCCUUUUUUUUUUUUUUUUUGAGACGGAGUCUCGCUCUGUGGACCAGGCGGGAGUGCAGUGGCGCAA
rnacentral:lncRNA from 10 species